CAGACAUCUCUUCUUCCGAGCUGCACACACACAUGAAAUAAGAAAGAAACAAAGGGAAGAGAGAAGAGGGAAGAGAGUGGGCUGCGAUGGAAGGAAGAAGAGAAGAGGAGAGAGGACUGUCCCGCGCCGGCGUCGCGCCUCACCAUCCGUCGGAGAGGACCAGAACGCGAUGAGGAGAAGGAGUUGGUUUCUGCCGUCGCCGGGAGACAGAACCAGCAUCUAGUUGGUCCCUGGAGGAUGGCCGGGUUCAUGCCCUUUACUCAACCCCAUCGAUAUACACCGAUGCGAAACAUGCUGCUAAUGAGGCGUGGCCAAUCAAGACUAACGACUACUUUCUAUGAGUCCUGAAUGCGAAUAAUUCAAUGAAUAAGCUGUCAUACUUAAAAAUCAUUCAUUCCAACUUGUUGUUUGAUAUUUGUACCAUGAAUUUGUUAGGUAUGCCGACAUGAAAAAUGGGCUAUUAGACGGAGUAUUUUACAAGUAGGCCAGCAAUCAAACGCUAUGUUAGAUUCUCAAGUGUCUACUACUUGGGGUACAAAAUUGAUACCAACAUGACUGAAAUAUGCUAGAAGAGUCAAGAAUUAUAAAUCCUAUAUGAUACAAUUUUAUGUUAGGAAAAAAUUAUGUUUAGUUGAAUUUCUAGAACUUAUUUUAUUGUAAAAAAACCUUAAUGACAUGUAAG